UUUCCGUAGGUGAACCUGCGGAAGGAUCAUUCAUAAUAAGUGUUUUAUGGCACUUUUUAAAUCCAUAUCCACCUUGUGUGCAAUGUCAGGGUUGAUUUUUCUCUCGAGAGGAUCAGCCCCAAACAUCAAUUAUAUCUCAACUCUUGUCUGUAAAAUAUUAUGAAUAAAACAAUUCAAAAUACAACUUUCAACAACGGAUCUCUUGGCUCUC
rnacentral:misc_RNA from 1 species